rnacentral:rRNA from 1 species
UACGGAAGGCAGCAGUGGGGAAUAUUGGACAAUGGGCGAAAGCCUGAUCCAGCCAUGCCGCAUGAGUGAAGAAGGCCUUCGGGUUGUAAAGCUCUUUUAGUGAGAAAGAUAAUGACGGUACUCACAGAAGAAGUCCUGGCUAACUCCGUGCCAGCAGCCGCGGUAAUACGGAGAGGGCUAGCGUUAUUCGGAAUUAUUGGGCGUAAAGAGCGCGUAGGCUGAUUAGUAAGUUAAAAGUGAAAUCCCAAAGCUUAACUUUGGAAUUGCUUUUUAAAACUGCUAGUCUAGAGAUUUGAAAGAGGAUAGAGGAAUUCCUAGUGUAGAGGUGAAAUUCGUAAAUAUUAGGAGGAACACCAGUGGCGAAGGCGUCUAUCUGGUUCAAAUCUGACGCUGAGGCGCGAAGGCGUGGGGAGCAAACAGGGAUUAGGAUACCCCGUCCUAGGACGUACGUCGA